rnacentral:rRNA from 1 species
GUUUCCUACCGGCCACCACUCCUGACCUUUCCCCCCUACCGCGCCUCGCCUCACCUCGCCUCGGCCAGUCAACCCAACGAACCCCGCCCGCGGCGCCAUGGGCGACGCCACCGCCCCGGCGAGCACCAAGACGGCGGAGCUGGACGCGCCGCUCAGCGCCCUGGGCUUCGAGAUCGAGGAGGUCUCCCCGUCGCAGCUCACCGGCCGCCUCGUCGUCACGGACACCUGCUGCCAGCCGUUCAAGGUGCUGCACGGCGGCGUGUCGGCGCUGAUAGCUGAGGGCCUGGCGAGCAUGGGCGCGCACAUGGCGUCGGGAUACCGCCGCGUCGCCGGCAUGCAGCUCAGCAUCAACCACUUCCGGAGCGCCGCCGCCGGCGACACCGUCCUCGCGCGGGCCGUCCCCGUCCACAUCGGCCGCUCCACCCAGGUUAUAUUAAUUCGUUUCCCCUGCUAUUUUGCCUCUUCUUUUUCUGAAUUGUCAACCUCUUCUCUAGCAGUAGUCGAUCACGCAGAGCUUAAACAAACCAUAGAUCAUGAUUUCGCGUGGAUUCCCUUUGAUUCCACUGUGUUUUUACUGCAACCAACUGAUUAUUAUGCUGUUUUUUUUACUGAAGCAUGCUGUAUGCUACAGAUAAUAGUAUUAUGUUUCAUUGAUACUCUGAAACAACUGUCAGAAUUCCACUUCAUGCUGUAUGCCGCAUUUUUUUUACUGAGUUUGGCAGAUUAAUUAGCAUAAACAAGCCGCAACUUGUUCUGUGCUUAAGAGGAGAAUAAUGCAGUAACAUAUUCUGAUCUCAACACGAAACAUUGAAGGAAUAAUGCAUCUGGUCUAACUAAUAAGCUCACUAACGUGGAAGGAACCGGUAAAGCUAUCUUCUAUAGAUGCAUAUCGCUGUCAAAUCUGAAUGAUGAAAGGAUGCUAGAAAUUAAUCAGAUUAAUAGUGGCUGCUGAAAUGGGUUUGAAGGUAUGGGAGGUGAAGCUCUGGAACAUGGACGCAUCCACACAGGGGGAAGGGCCUCUAAUCGCCGAGGCAAGGGUCACGCUCCUCUGUAAUCUACCCGUGCCGGAUGAGAUGAAAAGUGCGGGAGAAUCGCUUAGAAAAUACUCUAAACUGUGAAACUCCACUGAUACAUGAUUCUGUAAAAAACAUUUCUUGUGCAAACACAGAUGGAUCAACUCGAAAGAACAAGCUUCGUGUGUGUAGUUGAUGCAUCUCACUAUCCAGCACCAGCAACUACUGAUUUGGAAUGUGCUUCCAUUUUGUAUUCAUUCAUUAUUACACUAUAUAUAUGCAGUAACUCUGAUCUGUGAGCAAAUAUUAAAGGGGGCUACUAUACGAAUACCACAUCCCCGGCCCC